GAUGAACGCUGGCGGCGUGCCUAAUACAUGCAAGUCGAGCGAACGGACGAGAAGCUUGCGGCUCUGAUGUUAGCGGCGGACGGGUGAGUAACACGUGUAAAACCCACCUAUAAGACUGGGAUAACUUCGGGAAACCGGAGCUAAUACCGGAUAAUAUUUUGAACCGCAUGGUUCAAAAGUGAAAGACGGCGUUUCUGUCACUUAUAGAUGGAUCCGCGCUGCAUUAGCUAGUUGGUAAGGUAACGGCUUACCAAGGCAACGAUGCAUAGCCGACCUGAGAGAGUGCUCGCCCACACUGGAACGGAGACUCGGUCAUCACUCCUGCGCGAGGCAGCAGUAGGGAACCGUCCGCAAUAGGCGAAAGCCUGACGGAGCAACCGCGCGUGAGAGGUGAAAGUCUUCCGUGCGUAAAACCCUGUUAUGAGGGAAGAACAUAUGUCUAAGUAAAUGUACAGUUCUUGACGGUACCGAGUCAGAAAGCCCCGGCUAACUACGUG
rnacentral:rRNA from 1 species